rnacentral:rRNA from 1 species
AUUGAACGCUAGCGGGAUGCUUUACACAUGCAAGUCGAACGAGUGGCGGACGGGUGAGUAAUAUAUCGGAACGUGCCCAGUGGCGGGGGAUAACUACUCGAAACAGUGGCUAAUACCGCAUACUAUUGGAGCGGCCGAUAUUGGAUUAGCUAGUUGGUGGGGUAAAGGCUCACCAAGGCGACGAUCCGUAGCUGGUUUGAGAGGAUGACCAGCCACACUGGAACUGAGACACGGCCCAGACUCCUACGGGAGGCAGCAGUGGGGAAUAUUGGACAAUGGGGGAAACCCUGAGCCAGCCAUGCCGCGUGUAUGAGAAGGCCUUCGGGUUGUAAAGUACUUUUGGCAGGGAAGCGGUAUCUGCAGAAGAAGCACCGGCUAACUACGUGCCAGCAGCCGCGGUAAUAC